UGUCUCCUCCAUGUCUCCUUUGAUAUGGAUUCAGCCGCCGCCGUGCGGGCUUUUUCUU
rnacentral:ncRNA from 1 species